rnacentral:rRNA from 1 species
AGUGAACGCUGGCGGUAGGCCUAACACAUGCAAGUCGAACGGAAGCACAGUAAGAGCUUGCUCUUACGGGUGGCGAGUGGCGGACGGGUGAGGAAUACAUCGGAAUCUUCUUUUUCGUGGGGGAUAACGUAGGGAAACUUACGCUAAUACCGCAUAUGAUCUACGGGUGAAAGCAGGGGAUCUUCGGACCUUGCGCGAUUGAAUGAGCCGAUGUCGGAUUAGCUAGUUGGCGGGGUAAAGGCCCACCAAGGCGACGAUCCGUAGCUGGUCUGAGAGGAUGAUCAGCCACACUGGAACUGAGACACGGUCCAGACUCCUACGGGAGGCAGCAGUGGGGAAUAUUGGACAAUGGGCGCAAGCCUGAUCCAGCCAUACCGCGUGGGUGAAGAAGGCCUUCGGGUUGUAAAGCCCUUUUGUUGGGAAAGAAAAGCAGCAGGUUAAUACCCCGCUGUUCUGACGGUACCCAAAGAAUAAGCACCGGCUAACUUCGUG